AUUGAACGCUGGCGGCAUGCUUUACACAUGCAAGUCGAACGGCAGCGCGGGCUUCGGCCUGGCGGCGAGUGGCGAACGGGUGAGUAAUACAUCGGAACGUGCCCAGUAGUGGGGGAUAGCUCGGCGAAAGCCGGAUUAAUACCGCAUACGACCUGAGGGUGAAAGCGGGGGAUCUUCGGACCUCGCGCUAUUGGAGCGGCCGAUGGCAGAUUAGCUAGUUGGUGGGGUAAAGGCCUACCAAGGCGACGAUCUGUAGCUGGUCUGAGAGGACGACCAGCCACACUGGGACUGAGACACGGCCCAGACUCCUACGGGAGGCAGCAGUGGGGAAUUUUGGACAAUGGGCGAAAGCCUGAUCCAGCAAUGCCGCGUGUGUGAUGAAGGCCUUCGGGUUGUAAAGCACUUUUGGCGGGAACGAAAAGGACUGUGCCAAUACCACGGUUGGAUGACGGUACCCGAAGAAUAAGCACCGGCUAACUACGUG
rnacentral:rRNA from 1 species